rnacentral:rRNA from 1 species
AGAGUUUGAUCUGGCUCAGAAUCAACGCUGGCGGCGUGCCUAACACAUGCAAGUCGAACGAGAAAGUGGAGCAAUCCAUGAGUAAAGUGGCGACCGGGUGAGUAACACGUGACUAACCUACCUUUCAGUGGGGGAUAACCUCGGGAAACCGAGGCUAAUACCGCAUAACAUCGCAAGAUCAAAGCAGCAAUGCGCUGGAAGAGGGGGUCGCGGCUGAUUAGCUAGUUGGCGGGGUAACGGCCCACCAAGGCGAAGAUCGGUAUCCGGCCUGAGAGGGCGCACGGACACACUGGGACUGAAACACGGUCCAGACUCCUACGGGAGGCAGCAGUGGGGAAUUUUGCGCAAUGGGGGAAACCCUGACGCAGCAACGCCGCGUGGAGGAUUAAGCCCCUUGGGGUGUAAACUCCUUUCGACCAAGACGAUAAUGACGGUACUGGUGGAAGAAGCACCUGCUAACUCUGUGCCAGCAGCCGCGGUAAUACAGAGGGUGCGAGCGUUGUUCGGAAUUAUUGGGCGUAAAGGGCGCGUAGGCGGUGCCACAAGUCACUUGUGAAAUCCCCGGGCUUAACCCGGGGCCUGCAGGCGAAACUGUGGUGCUGGAGUAUGGGAGAGGUGCGUGGAAUUCCCGGUG